ACUGCCUGAUGGAGGGGGAUAACUACUGGAAACGGUAGCUAAUACCGCAUAACGUCGCAAGACCAAAGAGGGGGACCUUCGGGCCUCUUGCCAUCAGAUGUGCCCAGAUGGGAUUAGCUAGUAGGUGGGGUAACGGCUCACCUAGGCGACGAUCCCUAGCUGGUCUGAGAGGAUGACCAGCCACACUGGAACUGAGACACGGUCCAGACUCCUACGGGAGGCAGCAGUGGGGAAUAUUGCACAAUGGGCGCAAGCCUGAUGCAGCCAUGCCGCGUGUAUGAAGAAGGCCUUCGGGUUGUAAAGUACUUUCAGCGGGGAGGAAGGUGUUGUGGUUAAUAACCGCAGCAAUUGACGUUACCCGCAGAAGAAGCACCGGCUAACUCCGUGCCAGCAGCCGCGGUAAUACGGAGGGUGCAAGCGUUAAUCGGAAUUACUGGGCGUAAAGCGCACGCAGGCGGUCUGUCAAGUCGGAUGUGAAAUCCCCGGGCUCAACCUGGGAACUGCAUUCGAAACUGGCAGGCUAGAGUCUUGUAGAGGGGGGUAGAAUUCCAGGUGUAGCGGUGAAAUGCGUAGAGAUCUGGAGGAAUACCGGUGGCGAAGGCGGCCCCCUGGACAAAGACUGACGCUCAGGUGCGAAAGCGUGGGGAGCAAACACGAUUAGAUACCCUGGUAGUCCACGCCGUAAACGAUGUCGACUUGGAGGUUGUGCCCUUGAGGCGUGGCUUCCGGAGCUAACGCGUUAAGUCGACCGCCUGGGGAGUACGGCCGCAACGUUAAACUCAAAUGG
rnacentral:rRNA from 1 species